rnacentral:rRNA from 1 species
UCGGUUAGAGGACAGUGGCGGACGGGUGAGUAAUAUUUAGGAAAUCUGCCUUCUAGAGGGGGACAACAGAGGGAAACUUCUGCUAAUACCCCAUAUGAGCUACCUUGAGAUAGGUAUCUUGAAAACUCCGGUGCUAGAAGAUGAGCCUGAACCUGAUUAGCUUGUUGGUGGUGUAAUGGACUACCAAGGCGACGAUCAGUAGCUGGUUUGAGAGGAUGAUCAGCCACAAUGGGACUGAGACACGGCCCAUACUCC